rnacentral:lncRNA from 1 species
AGACCACCAACAUUUGAAAGCUUAAGAAAAUAAAGACAAUAAAUAAGAUUUUUGAAGCUGCAUAAUAGAUUAACAAUAAUGAAGUAUAGGUACAGCACAGAGGGCAUUGAGGUUUUGUGCAAGACAAAAUAAAAAUGACAAGCAAUUAAAUCGAAUAAAGGUUGAUUCCCAUAAUUGGUAAGAUAAGAUUUCUCAUUUCCUUGUCAAUAAAAACAGCUAUAUGUUUACUAUAAUAUUCCCUCAAAUAGGCUGAAGCAUCAAAGAAUUUUGACUACUCAGUUAAUGAUGUAGCCUUGUCACAAAAGAACCAUUCAGCACUUUCUGCUUACCAAGUAUGCACUCUUUUUCCUGUUAUUCUCACCAAUAAACACACAGAGAGAGAAAUAGUUGGUUUUCAAACAUUAGCAUUGUUUAUCCAUUUAGCUACACUCUAAUCCCAAUAGUCUUUUCAAAAUGCUUAUAUUGUUAACUCAUUCUAGGGAUGCCAUAAGCAAUUUCCGUAAUAAAGAAAACUGAUAACAUGAAGGUCAACAAAGAAAGUUUGAAUAUGCGAUUACAAUCCACAACCAAAUUGGAUUUCUCACUUUAGCCAUCCUAAUAAAUCACCACAAAACAAAACAAUAUUGAGAUUAAAAACAUCGUCGACGAACCAAAAGAACUGUGUGAUCAAAAACUCUACAUGGAAGAUACCCGUAAAUCAGUCAUACAGAAGAAGCUAGUCUUCUCUGCAAUUACAGCACCUAGAAGACCAGUUAAAGGAAAAAUAUGGUAGAGACAGAGAGGAAGUUACCUGGAUAGAGAAAUGUGUCUGAGCAGAGUGAGAGUGGGACAAAGAUGAGGAGGGAAAAGCAGAGGAGGGAAUCUGCAGAUGACUAAAAUUCACCAAAAAAAUGACGAGAACAAGUGAGUUGAAUUAGUAGCGUCCUCGCCAUUUUUUAUUUCGACCUCGAAUCUGGUUCGCUUUUUUUUUUUUUAAAUAAAAUUUUUAAUCUUAAAAUAUCUAAAAGUGAAAAAUAGUGAAUCUUUUUAAUUCGCAACUUGCAAAUAAACGGACGACUACUCAUCU